rnacentral:rRNA from 1 species
AUGACUGGAUACUUUGACCCAACCAUUGGUCCUCCAUGGAUCCGGCCAACUACAUGCCACUGGCCGCGGAUCCGGCCCCGGGGACCAACCCAGACACCGGCUGCCUCCACCACGCGCCCGACCCCGCCCCCACCCCCAUUCCACCAGGCAGAUGUUGUUGCCGUGCUCCGGGUCGACCAUGUCUUAUUAUCUGACCGUCUGCUAGUUCCUCUAGUUGUUCUUCUUUUGUUGCAGAGAUCUUCGUCGCUCCUUGUAGAUGGCAACUCCAGCGAUGUGAUCUUUUUCUUCGACCGCCUCGGCCGCUCACCAACACGGCCACCUGCAGUUCAGGGCUUAAAUCAUGUAUUCUGUACACAUGAGUGA